CUUAGGGUGAAGAUAUCUGGUGGUUCGAACAGUACUCUUGGGCUCUGUUUAAGGCAAUGUCCCACAUGCUGUGUAUUGGAUACGGGAGAUUUCCCCCACAGAAUAUGACGGAUGUCUGGCUCACUAUGCUUAGUAUGAUUAGUGGAGCUACUUGCUAUGCCAUGUUCCUGGGUCAUGCUACAAACCUUAUACAGAGCUUAGAUUCUUCAAGGAGACAAUAUAGGGA